rnacentral:rRNA from 1 species
GAUGAACGCUGGCGGCGUGCCUAAUACAUGCAAGUCGAGCGAAAAGACGAGGAGCUUGCUCCUCUGACGUUUGCGGCGCACGUGUGAGUAACACGUGGAUAACCCACCUAUAAGACUGGGAUAACCUCGGGAAACCGGAGAUAAUACCGGAUAAUAUAUUGAACCGCAUGGGUCAAUAGUGAAAGACGGUUUUGCUGUCACUUAUAGCUGGUUCCGCGCCGCAUUAGCUGGUUGGUAGGGUAACCGCUUGACAAGGCAACGAUACGUAGCCGACCUGAGAGGGUGAUCGGCCACACUGGAACUUAGACAGGGUCCAUGCUCCUACGGGAGGCAGCAGUAGGGAAUCUUCGGCAAUGGGCGAAAGCAUGACGGAGCAACGCCGCGUGAGUGAUGAAGGUCUUCGGAUCGUAAAACUCUGUUAUUAGGGAAGAACAAAUGUGUAAGUAACCAUGCACGUAUUGACGGUACCUAAUCAGAAAGCCACGGCUAACUACGUG